AGGACGAACGCUGGCGGCGUGCUUAACACAUGCAAGUCGAGCGGAAAGGCCCUUCGGGGUACUCGAGCGGCGAACGGGUGAGUAACACGUGAGUAAUCUGCCCCUAGCUCUGGGAUAGCUCCGGGAAACCGGGAUUAAUACCAGAUACGACCACUUUAGACAUCUGUUGUGGUGGAAAGAAUUUCGGCUAGGGAUGAGCUCGCGGCCUAUCAGCUUGUUGGUGAGGUAACGGCUCACCAAGGCGACGACGGGUAGCCGGCCUGAGAGGGCGACCGGCCACACUGGGACUGAGACACGGCCCAGACUCCUACGGGAGGCAGCAGUGGGGAAUAUUGCGCAAUGGGCGAAAGCCUGACGCAGCGACGCCGCGUGGGGAUGAAGGCCUUCGGGUUGUAAACCCCUUUCAGCAGGGACGAAGCGAAAGUGACGGUACCUGCAGAGAAGCGCCGGCUACUACGCGCCAGCAGCCGC
rnacentral:rRNA from 1 species